rnacentral:rRNA from 1 species
GACGAACGCUGGCGGCGUGCUUAACACAUGCAAGUCGAACGGAAAGGCCCUGCUUUUGUGGGGUGCUCGAGUGGCGAACGGGUGAGUAACACGUGAGUAACCUGCCCUUGACUUUGGGAUAACUUCAGGAAACUGGGGCUAAUACCGGAUAGGAGCUCCUGCUGCAUGGUGGGGGUUGGAAAGUUUCGGCGGUUGGGGAUGGACUCGCGGCUUAUCAGCUUGUUGGUGGGGUAGUGGCUUACCAAGGCUUUGACGGGUAGCCGGCAUGGGAGGGGGACCGGCCACAAUGGGACUGAGAUACGGCCCAGACGCCUACGGGAGGCAGCAGUGGGGAAUAUUGCACAAUGGGCGGAAGCCUGAUGCAGCAACGCCGCGUGCGGGAUGACGGGCUUCGGGUUGUAAACCGCUUUCGCAUGUGACGAAGCGUGAGUGACGGUAAUGGGUAAAGAAGCACCGGCUAACUACGUG